CAGCUACCGAAGGGGGUGAUUUGCUUACCUGAGCCUCAGAGUGUGCUUGUGCUGCCAUAGUGCGGGCCUGUUGUCAGGUGACUACCUGGAUUGGCUUCCUGGAUGGUCGGUUGUGGUAUGAAGGCAGAAGUUAGCUUGCCCUGGUCAUUGCCAAGUAACACAUCAGCAGGCAAGUUUUGCAUCAGCCCCACCUUAAAGUCCCCGGAUCCCGCACCCCAAUUCAA